UGGGGAAUCUUGCGCAAUGGGCGAAAGCCUGACGCAGCAACGCCGCGUGCGGGAUGAAGGCCUUCGGGUUGUAAACCGCUUUCAGCAGGGACGAAGAUGACGGUACCUGCAGAAGAAGCCCCGGCCAACUACGUGCCAGCAGCCGCGGUAACACGUAGGGGGCGAGCGUUGUCCGGAUUUAUUGGGCGUAAAGAGCUCGUAGGCGGUUCCGUCAGUCGGGUGUGAAAACUCUGGGCUCAACCCAGAGACG
rnacentral:rRNA from 1 species